ACUCAGAUCAACCUAUCACCUGUUUUGAGCCAUUACCGAUGCCAAUCAUUCUGCAACUAAACCUAUUUCAAUCCUCUCAUAUCGACCGAUAUAACAUGGAAUUUAUCAUCUAUGAAUUCAAAGAUACCUUUGCUCGUCAAGCUGGAUUUUCCAAGACAAUUCGUUGGCUUCAUGCAAUCUUAGUGAUGUUGUCUUGAGGAAAUCAGCUUGAUAAGCAAAGUUAUCUUUGAACUCGUUGGCUUCAUUCGAUGAAUGAAGCCACGAAUUCAAAGAUAACAUUGCUUAGCAAGCUGGUUUCUCCAAGGCAACAUCACUACUUCUGAAAGAUUUGAUCGUAGAACAUUCGGAUAUUGUCGCGAAGCAAAGUUAUCAUCAAAUUCGUUGGCUUCAUCCAUUUCUUCUUUUGCUGAAGCAAUAUCCAAAUGUUCUACUAGAGUAGAACAUUUGGAUAUUGCUUCAACAAAAGAAAAAAUGAAUGAAGCCAGCGAAUUCAGAGAUAACUUUGCGCAUAAAGCUAGAUUUUCCAAGGCAAUAUCACGUUACUUCUGUGACUCCUUACGAAUUUUCUGAAAGAUUUGG